AAAAGCCACAACAGGUCGCUCAUCCCGUCAGUCAUCCUUUAUUGCAGUCGGGAUCCUUGGGGUUGUUCUGUUGGCCAUUUUCGUCGCAUUAUUCUUCUUGACUAAAAAGCGAAGACAGAGACAGCGGCUUGCAGUUUCCUCAAGAGGAGAGAACUUAGUCCACCAAAUUCAAUACCGGGAGAUGAAUUCUUGCCUGAAUGCAGAUGAUCUGGACCUAAUGAAUUCCUCAGAAAAUUCCCAUGAGUCAGCUGAUUUCAGUGCUGCUGAACUAAUUUCUGUGUCUAAAUUUCUUCCUAUUUCUGGAAUGGAAAAGGAGGCCAUUCUGAGCCACACUGAAAAGGAAAAUGGGAAUUUAUAACCCAGUGAGUUCAGCCUUUAAGAUACCUUGAUGAAGACCUGGACUAUUGAAUGGAGCAGAAAUUCACCUCUCUCACUGACUAUUACAGUUGCAUUUUUAUGGAGUUCUUCUUCUCCUAGGAUUCCUAAGACUGCUGCUGAAUUUAUAAAAAUUAAGUUUGUGAAUGUGACUACUUAGUGGUGUAUAUGAGACUUUCAAGGGAAUUAAAUAAAUAAAUAAGAAUGUUAUUG
rnacentral:lncRNA from 1 species